UGCGUUCAAAUGGAAGCAAGUGUAAGCAAUUGAUGCUUUAGGGAAGCUGGUGAAAGUCCGGCACUGCCCCCGCAACGGUAACAAUGUAAAGCAUAUUUUUAAGUCGAAAUCGACUUACACCACUGCAGUAGUGUGGGAAGGUGAAUAUGUCCAUAAAUGAAUUAUGGCGCUGAAGUCCGGAGACCUACUUGUUUCAUCUAUCUACC
rnacentral:ncRNA from 2 species